CCAGCUGGUCCCCUGUAGCAGAAACCAACCCAAACAAGCAAGAGGCCCUUUGCGACUCAUGCCCUCCUCCCAUCCCCUGGUACCCGCCUGGUCUCCCACACCUGCCAUUACCCUGAGGUACUUAAAUAACCCCAAGGGGGUGCGGCCACCACCUUGGAAGACUUCGCAGUACCUGCGAGAGCUGGACUCACGCCCUGGGGCCCGCAGUCCCCACUUGAACAGCAAUAGAACUAGAAGGUUCCCCAACUAGAAACAACCCAAAUGGCCAUCAGCGGUAAGGAACUACAGAACAGACCCAAAAUGGAGCGCAUCCCACCGUGAGAGCCAACAACCUCGAGGACCCUCAGCAACGCGGCAGGGAAUGAAAGUGGCCCCCAAACCAGAGUGGUUCCGAGUCCACGGAUUCUGUCCUAAUCUGUGCGUUGGAGGCAGUGGCUGCCCAAGGGGGCUUCUGGGGUUCUGGUAAUAUAACAUGCAGUGCUUUUAUUUUAUUUUUUUAAAGAUUUUAUGUAUUUGAGAGACAGAGCUUGAGGGGUGGAGGAGGCAGAGGGAGAGGGAGAAGCAAGCUCCCCUCUGAGCAGGGAGCCCGAUGCAGGGCUGGAUCCCAGGACCCUGAGAUCAUGACCUGAGCCGAAGGCAGACGCUUCACCGACUGAGCCCCCCAGGCGCCCCCAACAUUCAGUUCUGAAAUUGAAGGACGGAGGUGCUGGCAACUCCUGAGGCUGCCGAUUCGUGCACUUUUGCGCAUGUCUGUUCUACUUGAAGUUUCCUUAACUAUCCCGGAGAUUGUUCACCGAAUGGGUCCACUCCACAAUUCCUUGAUUGCCAGUGACCCUGGCUCCACCCCAUGGCCAAGGCCGCCCCCAGCGCCAUAUCAGCAGCUGGUACCCUGUGGCUCCACUGCGCCCCCUCAUGGCCUGUCAGAGAAGAGCAGGCUAUUGAAUCUGCCUCACUUGAUUGACCACCCGAACGGCCCUGUUCUUUCUGGAAAACACCUCUAGACAGGUGAACUUUGGAGAACAAGACAAGACAUUAUACUAAACGUGGCUAAACUGGGGAAUCUGACCCCCUCAUGGGGGGCAAGGGAAGGGAAGGGAGGGUGAUCUAUCCUGGUCAACUGGAAGAACAUGACAAAGCACCAUCAACGAUGGGAGGAAAAGAGAGAGAUGAGGGGCACAUGGGGGUGACGAGGACAGAGAGAAGGACGCCCUCUACAGUGAAAUUAGGAGAAGCAUCAAGGGGCACCUGGGUGGCUCGGUCGUGGAGCACAUGACUCUUGAUCUUGGGGCUGUAAAUUCAAGCCCCACAAUGGAUGUAGAGAUUGCUUAAAAAUAAAAUCUUUUUUAAAAUAAGAUUUAUUUAUUUAUUUUAGAGAGAGAGAAAGAGCACGAGUGGGGGAGGGGCAGAGAGAGAGAGACAAGCAGACUCCCUGCUGAGCAGGGAGCCUGACACAGGGCUUGACCCCAGGACCCUGAGAUCAUGACCUGAGCCAAAACCAAGAGUCAGAUGCUUAACCGAUUGAGCCCCACAAAUGCAAUCCUUAAAAAAAAAAAAGUCAAACACCAACAUUGAGAGCGACUGCAUGUGUCUCUAGUGCCAGCCUUGCUGAGGGAUAAACUGCUGAGGCAUUUCAGGGCACUAACUGGGUCCUGACACCAGGGCAUCCUCCCCCGGGGGCUGUCAUCAAAUUCAUC
ensembl:lncRNA